rnacentral:pre_miRNA from 1 species
GUGGUACUCCCUCCGUUCGGAAAUACUUGUCGAAGAAAUGGAUGGAUCUAGACGUAUUUUAGUUAUAGAUCCAAUCUUAUCAAUUUCUCCGACAAAUAUUUCGAGACGGAGUGAGUAAUAU